GGUGGCUCAGUGGUAGAGUGCUUGCCUUGAAUGCAUGAAGCCCUGGGUUCAAUUCCUAAGCACCA
rnacentral:tRNA from 1 species